UCUGGCGGCUGCCGGCGUGCUGUCCGCAGGUCCCCGGCGGCGGCUGGGUGGCCGAGUCCCGGCGGGCCGAGCGAAGGGCCGCUGCAGGGUGCCCGGAGCCCCUGGCACCCGCGUCAGACGCGCGGAGGGAGGCCGAGAGAGAGGGACCUUGAGCGGCGCGGCGCGCGUCCUCAGCUCUGCGAGCCCCCUCUGGAGCGGCGGGGAGUACAAUGGGAGCCUCAGUACCUGGAAAUGGACCUGGAGUCUCUUGGGCUGAGGGCCCUUGGCAAAGGGACCCUGCGUCUUGAGCAUGUCUGGACACGAGCGGUGAGAUCUCUUCAAGGAUGAUGGAUUUGCCUGACCCGAGAUUGGACUCAUUAAAUUCACAUCUGGGGAUAGGUAGAUGGGAAACCCUCUGAAGCUCAGACCUCCUGAUGGUGGUUGGAGAGGGAGAAACGUGGUCUCCAUGGCAACUCCCUGGGGCAACCAGGACAGCCUCUUUUCACCUGGAGCCAAGCCUUCGAACUCAGCCACUCAGCCCAAGAUGAGGUUUCGUUUGAAGCUUAGUUCCAAGAGGGCUUGGCGUCCAACAGGAAAGCGUUAACAUUUUCCAGAAGCAGCCCUAGCCUCCCAACUGAAGGCUACUUUAACAUGCCCACUCACAGCACCAGGGAAGCUGGCUAUGUCCUUGCAUCUUAAGGAUGAUAUGCAUCCCUUCCUGCACCAUCUCUCCUGCAUUAUAAGACAUCUGCUGGGCUGCCUCAGGCCACUCGGACCCCAGGAUUCCAGCCAUCUUCACCUCACUGCCCCCUCCCUGACCAGUCCUGGCUGCAUCCUCGGGGCUGCCACUUCCAAGAGGCCCAGCUACAGUUUUCAGAGCCUUUCAGAGGUUUGGGGUUGUGGAUAAGGACCAUACCACCCUGUGUCUCCGUGGACAGUGGCACACGGCAUAAAGAGAUAAAACACGUUCACAGCUUUGAGGCCGCACCGAACCCAGCUAAUGCAACCUUGGAUCUGGCUUCCCAGGACAAUGAGAAAUUCCAUCUCAGGCCAUCCCCUGGGUUUACCAAGCGAACUGGAGAGGAACGGGCUCAUGUGAGGUGCUCCCUGUCCAAGUGCUCAUGCUUCGUGAACAUGGCUCUCGCUCCCUCCCUGGCUGAUGGGGAUUCACAUGGGCCAUUUGUCACAACUCCAAGGCAAGGUCCAGCCCCUUCACUUUGGAGCUCAAAAGAAAGUUUAGAAGCCACCACCCUUCAGUCCAACCUUCUGGUCCUAGAGAAGAUACAACUGGGGAGGUGGCAGGGUCACCCACUGCGCAGCAGAGUCAAAGAUUGGACCCAGGCUUCCUGGUUCCCAGGCCACCUCUGUUUUCACUACCACACCCUGCUUGUGACAUGUGUGGCAACAACAUCCUCGGGGCUAGUCCUAGGCCACAUCCUCUCCGGUUCUGCCACAGACCUGCCACGUGACCCAGAGGAGGUCACCUUGCUGCUGGGUGAGUCCAUUUCCUCGGCUCCAGGAUGAGGGUAGGUGAUGCCAGAGGUCCCUGGUCCCCUCCUAACCCUUCCUCUGCCCCAUGUCCCUAGGCUGUGCCCAUCUUGGAGAUUCAGCCUUGCAGAUGUGACCUGGCCUCCCUCCCCUUCUGCUCACCCUCCCUGCCUAUUUUCCUCCUGGCCUGCUAUGAUCCUAUUUAUUAGUUAAAUCCUUCCUGGUUCGACAAACCCUCCCUCCCCUUCACCUUUGCUUCGUGGUAAACAUAUUUCCCUUUCACCAAAUAUGUUUUUCUCAGUCACUUACCAGUAGUCACACUCUUGAGUGAUCAUUUUCAAAAACACAAAUUGCUUACAGGUGCCUCGGAAGUCAGAGGCCUCCCAGACUUCCUUGCUCCUGCUCACUCCUGACUUUCCACUUAUGGGUCUGGCUCAGCAGCCCAAUGCCCUCAUCCUGUUUGGGUAGCUCAUCUUUCCUUUAUGCUUAGAGAACCCUUCUGCUGGGGGUGCGAGGGGCUGACCCCGGGCAAUAGGAAAGACGAUGGAAACCCAGAGUAGAAGAGAGGUAGGCCUGGGGUCCACAGCCAGACCACAGAAACAUCUGCCUCUCACUCCAGUCAUGUGGCCCCAGAGCCCUGGUUGGGUACUGCUGGGGAUGAAACAGGACUAGUGUGGAGGUUAGUACCCAAGAGACCUGGUUUCUUCUUCUAGGUCUGCCAUAGGGCAACUUGUGACCAUGGAUCAGUCUGGUCCUUGCGGGGAGCCUGUUUCCCAUUUAGAAAAUAAGCAGGUUGGGAUUCUGGAGCAGUGGUUCCUACAGUGUUCCCUGGAGGGCUGAGGUCCUGGCGAGGUUCUCCUAAGGCCUGGCAGGGGUGGUGGAAGUUGCUAUGAGGGUGUUACCCUCACCUACCACUUCUCUAACCAGAGCAGCCUGGCAUGAAUCAAGCUUCCACCCAAGAUCUCAUUUGAAAAUGAGGUUGGAAAGACUGGGAAAAACCCCUGUGCUGAUCUUUAGGAUGCUGGUUGAUAGAAUAACUGCAAGAUGGACUAGCAUGCAGCUGGAAAAAAUGAGGAUACUGUAAAAAAUAAUGAUGAGGCAAGAUCUCCGGGAUACAUUAGAUAAAAACAGGAAGAUACAGAUGAUGUGUAGUAUGUUUUUUUUUUAAGAUGUUAUUUAUUUAAUUAUUUGAGAGAUAUAGAGCACUAGAGAGACAGAGCAAGUACGAAUGGGAGGCAGAGGGAG